rnacentral:rRNA from 1 species
ACCUGCCCCAUACAAUGGGAUAGCCACUGGAAACGGUGAUUAAUACCAUAUAAUGCUUUAGAAUCGCAUGAUUUAAAAGCUAAAGAUUUAUCGGUAUGGGAUGGACCCGCGUCUGAUUAGCUAGUUGGUGAGGUAACGGCUCACCAAGGCGACGAUCAGUAGCCGACCUGAGAGGGUGAUCGGCCACACUGGAACUGAGACACGGUCCAGACUCCUACGGGAGGCAGCAGUGGGGAAUAUUGCACAAUGGGCGCAAGCCUGAUGCAGCAACGCCGUGUGAGUGAUGAAGGCCUUCGGGUCGUAAAACUCUGUCCUAUGGGAAGAAAACAAUGACGGUACCAUAGGAGGAAGCCCCGGCUAACUACGUGCCAGCAGCCGCGGUAAUACGUAGGGGGCAAGCGUUAUCCGGAAUCACUGGGCGUAAAGGGUGCGUAGGUGGCUUAUCAAGCCAGGGGUGAAAGGCAUUGGCUCAACCAAUGUAAGCCUUUGGAACUGAUAGGCUUGAGUGCAGGAGAGGUAAGUGGAAUUCCUAGUGUAGAGGUGAAAUUCGUAGAUAUUAGGAGGAACACCAGUGGCGAAGGCGACUUACUGGACUGUAACUGACACUGAGGCACGAAAGCGUGGGGAGCGAACAGGAUUAGAUACCCUGGUAGUCCACGCCGUAAACGAU